rnacentral:lncRNA from 1 species
GGGCAAAAGAACCAAAACUAAUUUCGUUAAAAUAUUUAAUAUACAAUAAUAACUAUCAUCUAAUUUACACCUUGUCUAAAAAGGUAAAAGAAAAAAAUUAGAGAAGUUUAUGCUAAAAAGGCGUAUAGUGGUACGUAAUACAUUCCUCCUCGCACAUAUUAUAUUGCUUUCAAGUUCCAUGACCUCCUCCCUCCCAACUGUUCAAGAAAAUACUAUUAACUCUCAAUAAACUUUCUUUUUCUUUUCUUUUGUAAAUCAUUGUCAUUUCUUAUUACAAGUAAGCUUCAUGUAAACUCAAACCAUAUAAUAAUUCAACAUAGAGAAGAAAAACUCGUAACAUUGAAUUUAAAAAAUACUACGUACCAAAUAGAUGUCGGGUUAAGCUUGCUAUCUCAUUUUGAAGCUUGGAAACCUUCUCAAUUACAAUAGCGUCUUCCAAAUUUAUUUAGAAACUGGCCACACACACCCUAAUAGUGGAAUACUGAAAGGUACCAGAAAGAGUAACAAUAUGGCAUCAAUUUAAACAUUUCAUCAAUUUAAUUUGGGAUAUAAAAAGGUAUAUAAGUUCCAAAGAUUGACUUUUGGGCUUCUAAAUUAAUAAGGUAAAAUAAAAAAUAAAAAAAAAACAUAUGAAAAAUACUAUACAAAGAGAUAUUUUUAGAAAAAGGAAGAAGAUUGAGCGAGGAUUUCAUGUAUUGGGGUUGUACUUUGUAGCACAAGCAUCAGAAGACAUUUUCUUCACCAUCGGUCUCUUACCUAGUUUGCUUGCACUGCAAAAUUUUUUGAUACAGUUGGUUGUGUCAUCUUCGUCCAUCAUUUCUUUGCGGUGUACUAUGCAAGAGCAAAACGAAAUGUCUGGAUUUUAAGAAACGCAAAAGAAAUGGAAAGAUAGGAGGAAUGGAGGAUGAAUCGUUUUUGUCAAAUAAGGUCCCGUCUUUCAAUAUAUUUUGCUCGAAUGUCUCCUUUAAUUCAGUAACGUCCAAGGAUAAAAGAAAUUUAGUAACGUAAGGC